rfam:Oryza meridionalis cultivar OR44 (W2112) chromosome 2, whole genome shotgun sequence.
AAAGACUCAAUUCCUAAAUUUUAGUGUUAAACGUUUGACCGUUUAUUUUAUAUGAAAAUUUUUUAUGAUUGGUAUUUUUAUUACUGUUAGAUGAUAAAACAUGAAUAAUACUUUAUGCAUGAUUUAUCUUUUUAAUUUUUUUCAUAACUUUUUAAAAUAAGACGAACGGUCAAACAUUAGACACGGAAAUCCAGGAAUUGAGUUUUU